CCCAGGUUGGUGCUGCUGCUGCCGGAGCUGCGGUGCGAGCCGAUCUCGAUGUCCCCGUAGACCUCGGGUUCUAUUCCUCACUGUGUUAUUUUCUCCCAAGUGUCUUACAUCAGUAAAGGAGGUUUGGAAUAUUUUCCCCCAAACCCACAGGGAAUGGGAAAUGUCCAUUUGAUUACUCUUCCAUCUAUUCAGACCAUCUAAUAAGGAGAGGUAAGCUGCAUAUAGGAAGUUCAGAAUACAUCUGAGUUUAGAAAUUCACUUAUUUCUGUGAUACGAUGGGGGACUGUAAUCGUUUUUGGCUAAGGAAUUGCUGACUUUGUGAAAUCUUUCAAGGCUACGGAAGUAGAUUUUUUAAAGGUGAAUAACUCCAAAGCCAGAUGUUGCCGGUGUUGCACUCGUCUCUAGAAAGCAGCUGUCAUGGCUGGGGAUCAGUCAGCCAAGACCCGGUGCACCACCUCCUAGCGACCCCAGCAAAAAAAACUCUUCCUACAGCUGGAGCUGUACAAGGACCUGGCGGAAGCCUCGGAAACACAGCCUCCCAGGUAUCUUUUUCUCACACCUUCCAGGGAGCUGAAAGGGCCUUUCAUUUCUGGUACAAAACGUUCUGGGUUUGUUUGCUAACAAAAACUUCUUUUGUCCCAACUGACUCGGACCUGACGGAAGGUCCUUGGAUAGUGCAGCAGCUUGGCCUUUGUUUUACCUUUCCCAGCUGAUGUAUCUGCCCCGUAGCUUCCUGUGCAAAGCUGCCCUGGGAUAGUGUUCCUCUUGGUAACCACGGGACCUUUUUUUCUUUGUUUAGAAAGGCGUCAGAACAGCAAAUGUGCUAAACAUCUAACUGCAUCACAGUGGUAUAAAUUACACAGACGCGAGGUAUCGAUUGUGAAAAGAUCAGAUAGUUUUAAAGUCAGUGGAUGGCUGUCAAGUUGUUAAUUGAACAUUUGCUGAAAAAUGCCUGUGGGUAAGUGAUCUAGAUACUCUUGCAGGAUUAUCAAGUUUAAAAACAACAGUUGUCUGCCACUCUCCUGCCUUGGCUACAUUUAAAGAAAUACCAGCAAGUUGAAAAUCGCAAUCCCCAAAACAUUCACACUCAGACAUCCUUACAUUACUAAUCCUUUAGACUGAUGAUACUGAAAUAAUUUUGCAACCCAAUUUAAUGACUUGCUGAUUUUAGUUACUUUUUUACUUUCAGUUAGGAAAAAGCAGAUUGUCGAGUUUCUCACUUCUGAAGGCUGUCUUUAAUAAUAAUAAUAAUUAAUUUCAAUUUGCUCUUUCCAUGUGCAGGUUCAACUUUGUAACUAUGCUGCAUACACACAUCAAAUUUACAUAUUACUUUAAAGAAAUAUCUUGCCUCCAGUUGGACUCAAUAAUUUUAAAAAAUCUUAAAGUAUUCCAUUUUAAUUGUUUCAGUAGGACUCAGGAACACACAAUUGAUGAGGUUCCCUUCUUUUUGAAAACAAGCCAACACGAUUGACAAUAUUUUGUCUCACAUUAAUUAGCUCCAGUAAAUUAAUUUCUGUCCCUUUUUAUGAAUAAGCUCAGGAGAACACACUUUUUAGUGCUGUACAGACUCGGGGUACUUUACAUAAAUUGCAGCAGCUCUGCUCUGCAUGUCCACGAGUGAUGUUACAGCUGUUGAAAACCAUCACAGUCCACAUGACCUCUUUUCUCUCAACAAGCACAUUGAUUUUCUUGAACAAAUUUUAUACUUUCUCCUUAGGUCUCAUGAGUCAGUUAUAAAUAGAUAUUCAUAAUUCAAGUUGUAUCUGUUACAGCAACAUGGGUUUCAAAGCAAACUGUUGGGGGUUUGGUGAUCUGAUGUCCUCCAUGGCACAAACAACUUGUCAUUGAACUACAGGAUAAUAUUUAAGUCUUCCUAUGCAGACCUCAAGUGGCCAUUAAGUUAUAUCCAUAAGUGAAGAGAUUCUAUAAGCUCAGCUGGACUGAAUCCUCCUGUAUGUCUGGUGAGGUCAAAUUCAUCUCAGCUAUCUAAAAGUCAGAUGGCUAAUGCAUUUUAACCUCUAGAGUUCCUCAAAAUGUGGUGAAGGGAGAGUCAUUCAUCCAUUCUACUGGUAGAUCUGAAGCUUUAUAGUGAGUAUAUUCACAGCAUAGUGAGUCUGGAUUUAUAUUACUGUUAAUAUUGGAGGAUAUAAUCUGUAGCUACAUAAUGUAGGUAUUGGUUGUACAAUUGCAACUACUAAUUUAUCUCAAUUUACAAAGAGUUACAACAUUAACUUUGUACGAGGAAGUUUAUGCCUAGUCAGAUACCAUCCACUGUCAGUGCUCAGCUCUAUGCCAGGCUGGGCAUCUUUGAUGAUUCUAUACGCAGCUUGAAACCCUCAUGCCAUUGUGGACUUGAUACUCUGUGCUCUGCUCAUGUAACAAAAGCAUUCAACUUAUGUUAAAAGAAAUGUUCAAGAUAUGCUUUAUAUUGCUUCUGUCCAUUUGUGUUCAGCUCUGGUAUUAAUGAUCACAAACUGACAGCCUAAAAUAGGCAUGACACAUUUCCAUCAGAAAAUAAACGUCUCUUUCCGCUUGCUGUAAAGGGACUCUGAAGAACUAACUUACACUUGCCCCCUUCCUUUUAGAUGGCUAAAAGAAAUACAUGCAUUUGUUUGCUCGCCUGUGUGGAUACAAUGUGACCAGUUUGUAAUUUAUCAGAAACAAAACUGAAAACUUCAGGAAACAUUUUAGGCAUUAUGAGGCCAAACCCUAACAAUUUUGCUGAAAAUCAGAAAACUGGAAGACAUCUGUACUUUAAAGUUGUUCAUUGCUCUCCAAGUGCUGUGCAACAGCUGUGGGACAGAUGCUUAGCCAGCAAGGGAAGCCAGAGAGGAGCGAAAUGAAGACAUUUCGUUUUUUCCCUCUCCCUCCUCACAAACUGUUUGUUGAUGAUAGAGAAAGAAGGAAGGCACCAGCUGUUGGGUCAUUGUUCUAGAAAGGGCAGAAUUACAGGCUGUUUAGAAGGGGGGAUUAAAAACAGAAGCCAGAAGUGUCUUUAGUACAGUGGUGAAGAUGCUGAGAGGCAGGGAUAGUAUUCCAGCCAUAGGUUCAUUGGUGCUUUAUUCAGAGGUAACCUGUCCAUUUGUAUCCAUUUUCAUCUAUACUGAUCUUCAUUCCUGUGGAAUCAUAGGAAUGAUGGUGAUUAUUAGAUUAGGUGAUUUUUGGCUCCUGCUGCCUCCCAGCCCUGAUAUUAAUCCUGCCCCUCUCUGUUCCCAGUCUGUCUCAUGCAUUAACCAUGAGAUUUCUACAUUUGCUCUUGCCUGACCCUUGUCUCCAUUUGGCCCACAUCUCACACGGAUUUGUUGCACAGUCCUCUGCUCCAUGAACUGAUGUGCUAGACACAGCUGAUGGAAAACACCCUAAUUUUACUGAUCAGAUACUGGAUCACAUGUCAGGUCAGAGAGGACUGGCUGCAGAAACUUAAUGCAGUGAGUGACUUUGCAUGCUCAGGCAUAUGGGGAUAUGUUCCUAUUGCAGGGCAGCAUGAAGGCUCUUAACACCACCCAAUGCACCUUUCCGAUUCCUCAUCACAUUACCAGACAUCGCUACUAUUUUAUCCACUGGCACUGAGGAAUACCAACAGAUACGUAUCUCCCCACUUAUUUCUCCUCAUCUUCACUUCUGCUUCCCUACAGCAGCCUACCUAACACUACCAGAUUGGCAAAUCCCAGGGACCUUCAGCAUCCCAAGCUGGAACUUGAGGUUUGUCUCCGUAUAGAAACGAGACCUAAAUAUCGAGUGGCCCCUUUUCCUGCUCUCUAGUUUCCAUCUGAAACCCUGACUGUGGAGAAUGGGCAAUAUUGAGAGAUGAGGGUCCUCGACCAGCUGCAUACACUCUGCCAAAUGUGUGACAUAUCUUCACAAGUUAGCUUGAAACUGUCUUUUUAUGUGCUUUCUCCUUUCCAAACCAAAAAGUAGGGUGAGACCUACAGCAAUUCUUUAACCUCUUUCCCCUUCAAAGUGUUCCAGAAAUGCAGAAAGCAGAGAAAGCAUUUCUCUGAUGCUCCUGGAGAAGGGAGACAGGGAGGACAGGUGGGUCUGUCUUCUCAUGACAAUGAUGACUGCCCUGGAAGGGACCAGGGGACUUUUCUACCUCUAUGCAGCAAAACUCUGGGGACCAGGAGACAGGAAAAUAAGCAGGAAACUGUCAUGUCUCCCAUUAAACAUCUCAAACACUUCAGCGCUGUCUAGAGCUUAUUGAUUCCCUCUGAGACUUGCUUUAUGCUUACUAAAUAUCAAAAAGCUUUAAAACAGACAAGCAAGCAAACAAACAAAACCAAAAAA